CACAUGAUUUUUUUUUAAAUCCUGCGACUUAAAGUUAUUACCAAGCUAUGUGCAGGAAAAUUUUUAUCAACUAACGGUGAAACAGACCGUAACCGUGUGGUGUUUCUUGCCAAUUACCAACACUAAAAAAAUAGUUUCAAGAUGUCGAGUCUUUAGAAGAUAAAGUAUUAGAAAAACUUAUUUCGCCAGAUUUUGAAAAACCACAAACACCGAUAAGGAAAAUCAACAUCGACAUAACAGACAAUCCGAUCAAGAAGAAGGAAAAAUUAAACACGAAGAAAAGAAAGAGACUCAUUAAAAUUAAAUUAGAUGAUAAAAAUGAUAACGGACCUAUAUUCAAACGAAAGAAGAGAAAACCACACUUCCUAACCGAAAAAUCAUUUUUAAACGUAAUAACAGUCGUUGAAAAUUCUUACGCAUAUCCUUUUAACUCUUUCUUCAAUAAUUACUAUUGCGCUUACUGCAGGAAGAAAUUCGUUGACUGUACGAAACUUCGAGAACAUUCGCUAACUCACGAUCCAACUACAUACAAGGGUAUCCUUACCAAUAUACUUAAAAUACGCGAAAAUAGAAAAUGUCAAA
rnacentral:misc_RNA from 1 species